rfam:Triticum aestivum genome assembly, contig: Triticum_aestivum_CS42_TGACv1_scaffold_061484_1DL
AAAUUACUUCCUCCGUUCGAAAAUACUUGUCAUCAAAAUGGAUAAAAGGAGAUGUAUCUAGAUGUAUUUUAGUUCUAGAUUCAUCCUUUUUUAAACAUUUUGAUGACAAGUAUUUUCGGACGGAGGGAGUAAAAC